AUCUUUUCAUGCAUUGAAGACAGGGAGAAAAGUUUGAUUUAAAAUGGAAACAUUUAUUGUAGCAUUAAUUCCAGAGUGACUGUCCUUUUUCAUACAUUCUUUCCCAAAUCUUUGGAUCCUUGUUUCUUCUUCAUAAGUGGACAUUUAUCACCAUGGCAUUAAACUGUCAUUAAAUUUCUUGCCUUGGGUGCUCUGAAGGAAUUAAGAGUUCAUUGUGUGUAACCGAAACUAUUCCAUAUAAGUCCUGGUGGCAUGCUAGUCACUGUAUAUUUGAAUGCCCUCCAGUAGUGUGCUAAGCAACGUGACUAACAUCUGCUGUUUGUUUUCUCCUCUGCACAAGGGAGAAUGAACUGACGUGCAUUCUUUUAAAAAGGG